rnacentral:tRNA from 3 species
GGAAAGGUGGCAGAGUGGUUAAUUGCGUAGCUUUUGAAAAGCUAAGUAGUCGUUCGGCUACCGAGGGUUCGAAUCCCUCCCUUUCCU